rnacentral:rRNA from 1 species
CGAACGGGUGAGUAACGCGUGAGGAACCUGCCUCAAAGAGGGGGACAACAGUUGGAAACGACUGCUAAUACCGCAUAAGCCCACGACCCGGCAUCGGGUUGAGGGAAAAGGAGCAAUCCGCUUUGAGAUGGCCUCGCGUCCGAUUAGCUAGUUGGUGAGGUAACGGCCCACCAAGGCAACGAUCGGUAGCCGGACUGAGAGGUUGAACGGCCACAUUGGGACUGAGACACGGCCCAG